GCGUGAGUUGCUUGUCUGUGUUUUGUGUGUGGUGUGUGUGUUUUGUAUAUUUAUAUGUGUGUUAUAGAAUUAGGGUUUAAAUUUUAGGAUUUAUUAUUUAAUUUGUGUGGGCCGAAAAUUUUUAUAAAAAAGAAAGAGAGUGGGCCGAUUUUUAUUUCUAUGUGGGCCGAUUUUAUUUUAAUUCUGCUGGGCUCUUUUUGUUCUUAAUUGAUGGGUUUUUAUUUUAGUUGUGUGGACUAAUUUUAUUUAAAUGCUUGGGCUAUUG
rnacentral:lncRNA from 1 species